GACGAACGCUGGCGGCGUGCUUAACACAUGCAAGUCGAACGAAAAGAGGGAAAGAGCUUGCUCUUUCCGGAAUUGAGUGGCAAACGGGUGAGUAACACGUAAACAACCUGCCUUCAGGAUGGGGACAACAGACGGAAACGACUGCUAAUACCGAAUAAGUUCCAAGGGCCGCAUGGCCCAUGGAAGAAAAGGUGGCCUCUACCUGUAAGCUAUCGCCUGAAGAGGGGUUUGCGUCUGAUUAGCUGGUUGGAGGGGUAACGGCCCACCAAGGCGACGAUCAGUAGCCGGUCUGAGAGGAUGAACGGCCACACUGGAACUGAGACACGGUCCAGACUCCUACGGGAGGCAGCAGUGGGGAAUCUUCCGCAAUGGGCGAAAGCCUGACGGAGCAACGCCGCGUGAGUGAUGACGGCCUUCGGGUUGUAAAACUCUGUGAUCCGGGACGAAAAGGCAGAGUGCGAAGAACAAACUGCAUUGACGGUACCGGAAAAGCAAGCCACG
rnacentral:rRNA from 2 species